UACGUAGGUGGCGAGCGUUGUCCGGAUUUACUGGGCGUAAAGGGAGCGUAGGCGGACUUUUAAGUGGGAUGUGAAAUACUCGGGCUCAACUUGAGUGCUGCAUUUCAAACUGGAAGUCUAGAGUGCAGGAGAGGGGAAUGGAAUUCCUAGUGUAGCGGUGAAAUGCGUAGAGAUUAGGAAGAACACCAGUGGCGAAGGCGAUUCUCUGGACUGUAACUGACGCUGAGGCUCGAAAGCGUGGGGAGCAAAUAGG
rnacentral:rRNA from 1 species